UACAGAGGGUGCAAGCGUUAAUCGGAAUUACUGGGCGUAAAGCGUGCGUAGACGGUUACAUAAGUCGGGUGUGAAAGCCCCGGGCUCAACCUGGGAAUUGCAUUCGAGACUGCGUAGCUAGGGUGCGGAAGAGGGAAGCGGAAUUCCGGUGUAGCCGGUGAAAUGCGUAGAUAUCUGGAGGAACACCGGUGGCGAAGGCGGCAUCCUGGACCGGCAUUGACGCUGAGGCGCGAAGCCAGGGAGCAAGCGGG
rnacentral:rRNA from 1 species